AUAACUGUUCGAUUGGAUAGAUUCGUAUUUCUAUCCGUAACAAGAAAUUAUUGUUCGUGAUGAACUAUCAUCAAAACGAAGAAUAAGAAAAAAUGAAGACUGUGGUGAUAUAUUUGUGUGCAUAUAAUAAUAAAGAUGUUUGUGCUGUUUCCAUGUUUUACCGACCAAGAGUGCAGAGAUAGCAAAAAUAAAACCAGCAGACCAACAACAUUCAAAAAUCCAAACCCGUACUCAUUAUAUAUUGAUAUGUAUUUAAACGUUAAUCGGACGGAUGAUGCUAAACACGACAAUCAGAUCUCAGGUUGCACUGUCAGGCGGCGAAGUAACAUAAAAUCGAGAUCAUAGACCCGUCAUAAUUAUUGGAAUAUCAAGACUUAGGUAAGAGACAUUUCCGUACAACAUUUUAAAGAAAAUUUUUUGGUUAAAAAGCAAAAAUUGUAUUUGGAAUAAUUUUUCAUUAAAUUUUUCUUAUUUCCAAACUAA